CUGAUUGCAAACCUUUUGUACUGCCCAUAGUCACUGGCUGCGCUUGGGAUAGAUGGGGCAGGAAGACUAAGUCCUGGGUAUCCCAGAGCACGGGGGAUCUUCUAGGUGGGGACACCCUAGUGACCACCUAGUCCAACUUUAUCUGAACAGGUGAGGAAGAAAGGAAGGAAAAGGAAGCUACACUCCAGAGCUACGGAACGAUUUGCUCAAGAUUCUGCAAAAUGACCCAUAGAUUCAUGAGUGUAUCACCGUGAGUAAGUUUCUCUGAAACAAAGCCGUCAACACCCAGAGCACACCUGCUUAGUGAGGUUCUUACACGGAGGCAAACACAAACGAGGCUACAGUUCCCAGGAUGGACGGGAGGAAGGCACUGGUGAAAAAUAUCUGGCCGAGGAAUGUAAUUAACUUGAAGAAAAACAUUUGCAUCGUGACUAUACUCGUGUCUUUUUCCAUCAGCAAAAGCCCAAACCAAGCAAACCAAAAGCCACUACCAUUCGCCCACCACCUUGAACACAAAUGAUUUUGGCAGAGCGGUUGACAUAAAAAAAAUACUGCUUGAAACAAACCAAGAAAAAAAAAUGCUUCCAAUCAAGUCUUCCUGCUUUGCUACCAUCAGGUUUACCUUUGUAUCUUUUGAAUUGCGUACUGUGUGUAUCUAUCAACUCUUCAAAAAUAUAUAUACAU